rnacentral:rRNA from 1 species
UACGAGGGGGGCGAGCGUUGUUCGGAUUCAUUGGGCGUAAAGGGUGCGUAGGCGGCGCUGCAAGUCAGGUGUGAAAUUUCGGAGCUUAACUCCGAAACUGCAUUUGAUACUGCGGUGCUUGAGGACUGGAGAGGAGACUGGAAUUUACGGUGUAGCAGUGAAAUGCGUAGAGAUCGUAAGGAAGACCAGUGGCGAAGGCGGGUCUCUGGACAGUUCCUGACACUGAGGCACGAAGGCCAGGGGAGCAAACGGG